UCUCCGUUGGUGAACCAGCGGAGGGAUCAUUACCGAGUUUACACCUUCCAAACCCCAUGUGAACCAUACCAAACUGUUGCCUCGGCGGGGUCACGCCCCGGGUGCGUCGCAGCCCCGGAACCAGGCGCCCGCCGGAGGGACCAACCAAACUCUUUCUGUAGUCCCCUCGCGGACGUUAUUUUUACAGCUCUGAGCAAAAAUUCAAAAUGAAUCAAAACUUUCAACAACGGAUCUCUUGGUUCUG
rnacentral:misc_RNA from 1 species